rnacentral:rRNA from 1 species
CCUACGGGGGGCUGCAGUGGGGAAUAUUGCACAAUGGGCGCAAGCCUGAUGCAGCCAUGCCGCGUGUGUGAAGAAGGCCCUAGGGUUGUAAAGCACUUUCAAUUGGGAAGAAAAGCUUGUCGUUAAUAGCGGCAAGCCCUGACAUUACCUUUAGAAGAAGCACCGGCUAACUCCGUGCCAGCAGCCGCGGUAA